rnacentral:rRNA from 1 species
GACGAACGCUGGCGGCGUGCUUAACACAUGCAAGUCGAACGGUAAGGCCCUGCUUUUGUGGGGUGCUCGAGUGGCGAACGGGUGAGUAACACGUGAGUAACCUGCCCUUGACUUUGGGAUAACUUCAGGAAACUGGGGCUAAUACCGGAUAGGAGCUCCUGCUGCAUGGUGGGGGUGGGAAAGUUUCGGCGGUUGGGGAUGGACUCGCGGCUUAUCAGCUUGUUGGUGGGGUAGUGGCUUACCAAGGCUUUGACGGGUAGCCGGCCUGAGAGGGUGACCGGCCACAUUGGGACUGAGAUGCGGCCCAGACUCCUACGGGAGGCAGCAGUGGGGAAUAUUGCACAAUGGGCGGAAGCCUGAUGCAGCAACGCCGCGUGCGGGAUGACGGCCUUCGGGUUGUAAACCGCUUUCGCCUGUGACGAAGCGUGAGUGACGGUAAUGGGUAAAGAAGCACCGGCUAACUACGUG